UUCACACUAAAGGUUCGAUUUUUAGGCCUGAUUGGUGAUUUUAUACACAGAAAACGAUCACCCAACACAUUUCUUCUACUGGGUAUGAUGGGAAAAACAGUAGAAUUUGUUGAUACAUGGACUAAAGCAUUUCCAGACAUCAUCUAGUUUUCUUUUCUUGUCUUUCCAAAAUUAUACACUUUUUCUUGUUCUAUAGAUAAAAAUUGAGCUGGAGAAAUUGAAAAUCGAGAUUGAAGAUCAACAAAAUGGAAGCAUAUAGGAAGGUUCAAGCUGG
rnacentral:misc_RNA from 1 species